GACGAACGCUGGCGGCGUGCUUAACACAUGCAAGUCGAACGAAAAGAGGGAAAGAGCUUGCUCUUUCCGGAAUUGAGUGGCAAACGGGUGAGUAACACGUAAACAACCUGCCUUCAGGAUGGGGACAACAGACGGAAACGACUGCUAAUACCGAAUAAGUUCCAAGAGCCGCAUGGCCCAUGGAAGAAAAGGUGGCCUCUACCUGUAAGCUAUCGCCUGAAGAGGGGUUUGCGUCUGAUUAGCUGGUUGGAGGGGUAACGGCCCACCAAGGCGACGAUCAGUAGCCGGUCCGAGAGGAUGAACGGCCACACUGGAACUGAGACACGGUCCAGACUCCUACGGGAGGCAGCAGUGGGGAAUCUUCCGCAAUGGGCGAAAGCCUGACGGAGCAACGCCGCGUGAGUGAUGACGGCCUUCGGGUUGUAAAACUCUGUGAUCCGGGACGAAAAGGCAGAGUGCGAAGAACAAACUGCAUUGACGGUACCGGAAAAGCAAGCCACGGCUAACUACGUG
rnacentral:rRNA from 1 species